CGUAGCUCAAUAGGUAGAGCAUGAGACUUUUAAUCUCAGGGUUGUGAGUUGAAGGCCCACAUUGGGGGAAAGA